rnacentral:rRNA from 1 species
CAGCAGUCGCCACGGGAAUACGUAGGGUGCAAGCGUUAAUCGGAAUUACUGGGCGUAAAGCGUGCGCAGGCGGUGUUGUAAGACUGAUGUGAAAUCCCCGGGCUCAACCUGGGAACUGCAUUGGUGACUGCAACGCUGGAGUGCGGCAGAGGGGGAUGGAAUUCCGCGUGUAGCAGUGAAAUGCGUAGAUAUGCGGAGGAACACCGAUGGCGAAGGCAAUCCCCUGGGCCUGCACUGACGCCCAUGCACGAAAGCGUGGGGAGCAAACAGGAUUAGAUACCCCUGUAGUCCCUGUCUCUUAUAC